GACGAACGCUGGCGGCGUGCUUAACACAUGAAGUCGCACGGAAAGGCCCUGCUUUUGUGGGGUGCUCGAGUGGCGAACGGGUGAGUAACACGUGAGUAACCUGCCCUUGACUUUGGGAUAACUUCAGGAAACUGGGGCUAAUACCGGAUAGGAGCUCCUGCUGCAUGGUGGGGGUUGGAAAGUUUCGGCGGUUGGGGAUGGACUCGCGGCUUAUCAGCUUGUUGGUGGGGUAGUGGCUUACCAAGGCUUUGACGGGUAGCCGGCCUGAGAGGGUGACCGGCCACAUUGGGACUGAGAUACGGCCCAGACUCCUACGGGAGGCAGCAGUGGGGAAUAUUGCACAAUGGGCGGAAGCCUGAUGCAGCAACGCCGCGUGCGGGAUGACGGCCUUCGGGUUGUAACCCGCUUUCGCCUGUGACGAAGCGUGAGUGACGGUAAUGGGUAAAGAAGCACCGGCUAACUACGUG
rnacentral:rRNA from 1 species